UACGUAGGGGGCAAGCGUUGUCCGGAUUUAUUGGGCGUAAAGAGCGCGUAGGCGGCUUGGCAGGUCCGUUGUGAAAACUGGAGGCUUAACCUCCAGCUGUCGAUGGAAACCAUCUGGCUAGAGUCCGGAAGAGGAGAGUGGAAUUCCUGGUGUAGCGGUGAAAUGCGCAGAUAUCAGGAAGAACACCCGUGGCGAAGGCGGCUCUCUGGGACGGUACUGACGCUGAGACGCGAAAGCGUGGGGAGCGAACAGG
rnacentral:rRNA from 1 species